UACGUAGGGUGCAAGCGUUGUCCGGAAUUAUUGGGCGUAAAGAGCUCGUAGGCGGUUUGUCGCGUCGGUUGUGAAAGCCCGGGGCUUAACCCUGGGUCUGCAGUCGAUACGGGCAGGCUAGAGUUCGGUAGGGGAGACUGGAAUUCCUGGUGUAGCGGUGAAAUGCGCAGAUAUCAGGAGGAACACCGGUGGCGAAGGCGGGUCUCUGGGCCGAUACUGACGCUGAGGAGCGAAAGCGUGGGGAGCGAACAGGAUUAGAAACCCCCGUAGUCC
rnacentral:rRNA from 1 species